UUCACGAAAAAGGCGACCGCGACAAAGCGCCAAAGCCAACCACAGUGUGAUCAUCGAACAUUCUGAAAUUCUCUAGAUUUCGGUGUUGUAUAUCAUCUCUUGUGAUUUCUUUGUUUUCGACAUUCUCAACUUUCUCCAUCUCUCUCUUUCUUCUUCCUUCCCUAACUUCAUUCUUUCUUUUUUCUUUUUUGAAUUUUCUGCUUCUUGCACGUCGCGAUUCCAGCUCUGGGUGGAGUUAAAAAGAUCUAUGACUAUGGUUCGUAUUGUUGUCAAGAAAAAGUUAAGUGGGAAUAAGUUGCUUUGGAUCUGAAUCAGAAGGCGAAAUUCGAUUUAGUUGAGUUAUGAAGAUGCAAGCAAGGGUCGUUCCGUUGGAGGAAGGCAAAGACCCUUCACUUACAAACAAGACGAAUCAGUCUAAAGCGUUGCCGCUGAGACUGUUUCAGUUAUUUGGUCUGUUUCUGAUGCUGUGUAUCGCCGUUGCAUUCAUUAGUAUUUACACAAUCCGUCUUUUUGGAGUCCAAAGUGUAGUGACAACGGUUAAGUCCAAUCUUGAGGCAUGCUUUGAAAAAGAAAAACCCAGUGCUUUGGAUAAUUGGAUAAAACCUCCAUCAAAUUUAAUGCACACUAUGACUGAUAAAGAGCUUUUGUGGAGAGCAUCAUUGGUUCCUCGAAUAAAGAAGUACCCCUUUCGGAGAGUUCCGAAAAUUGCAUUUAUGUUUUUGGCAUUGGGGCCACUCCCACUCGAACCUCUUUGGGAGAAGUUCUUCAAGGGGCAUGAAGGGCUAUAUUCGAUCUAUGUUCAUUCAUUGCCAACUUACGAGGCCAAAUAUCCAUCAUCUUCAAUUUUUAAUGGGAGACAAAUCCCAAGUCAGGCCUCUGAAUGGGGAAGAAUGAGCAUGUGCGAUGCAGAGAGAAGACUCCUUGCUAACGCAUUGCUUGACAUCUCCAAUGAAUGGUUCAUUCUUGUCUCUGAAACCUGCAUUCCUCUAUAUAACUUCUCCGCCAUCUACCACUACAUAAUGAAGUCCAAAUAUAGUUUCAUGGGUUCAUUUGAUGACCCUGGACCAUAUGGGAGAGGACGAUAUAAUGAGAACAUGGCACCUGUGGUGAACAUUACCCAGUGGCGUAAAGGAUCUCAGUGGUUUGAAGUUAAUCGAAAGCUGGCUGUCUACAUUGUGGAAGAUACUACAUUUUAUCUGAAAUUUGAAAAAUUCUGUCGACCCGCAUGUUAUGUGGAUGAACACUAUUUUCCCACGAUGCUAGCCAUUCAAGCACCAAACCACUUAGCAAACAGAAGCCUCACUUGGACGGACUGGUCAAGGGGUGGAGCUCAUCCGGCUACCUUUGGAAGAAAUGAUAUCACAGAAGAAUUUUUCCAGAAAAUUUUUGAAGGUCAAGAAUGCACAUAUAAUAACCAGCCCUCUUCAACUUGUUUUCUCUUUGCAAGAAAAUUUGCACCAAGUGCUUUAGAACCUUUGAUGAAUAUAUCAUCAAUAGUUUUGGGCUUUUGAAGCUUUUGAGAAAUGAAAUAACCUUUCAAUUCUGAAUUCUUGAAGAAUACUAGAAAGCAGGUGGUUAGGAGCUUGUCUCUUUCAUCCCUGCAUCGUAUAUGAGGCAUCUUAUAUUUUUUUGUGUACAGAGGCUGGCUGACUACAGAGAUCUGGAUAUGGAAAGGGGAGAGUCAAAAUGAGUUCACAAUUUAAGGUGGAAUUUCACCAUUUCACUUCUAAGCCAACAUUAUUAUUAAUACAAGCGCAAAUACCUCGCAUGUGGAAGAUGACGGCUCUUAAUUUCCAAAGUCUUUCAAGCUGGUUCAUAUGUCGAUGUCAAUUUUGCCUGUGUCUUUAGCUUGAAGAUGAGGAAGAUGGAAUUAGUGCAUCGUGAGGAAUUGGCAAGCAAAGUUUGCCUCAAGUUUAGCGAGUUAAAAUUGAUGUUACAACGUUGUUCCUAGUCGUCACAACUAGCAUCACAGCCCGAUUAAGUGUUGUUGAUAGCAAUCAAGAUUGAAAUGUUGUUGUUCUUCAAUUUGAGAGGAGAUGUGAUGGUCAAGAAGGAGAAUGUCGAAAAAGGUGAAAUGAGCUCAAAUUUCAUUAUUCUUUCUGAUUGGGUAUCGAGAUUUAGGUCUUGAUCUCGAAGUGGUUUUAAUAGUUUAUUUGUAGACUUUAUUGAAGUGGCAAGACAGACACCGACGACUCUUAAGUGUUUUCCAAAUUAAAAACAGAAAUAUAAAAUAAAAAUAAAAAUUUUAAAUAUUUAGAUCCAACUUACUUUGUGAACAGAGACAGACAGAUCAGCAGAAAUUUCUGGAAACCCUGCAUUUCAAUUUCUCGUGAUUCAAAUUCGAAUUAAAAAAUUAACAAUCUCUUUCUUGACCACCUUCCGUUGGCCCUACCACUCGUCCCACGUGGGUCCCUCUGUUAAAGAAAUUCCGUGACAACCGAACCGAUCUCCAAUUAUUAAGCAUUCUUUUAACCCCACUCUCAAAUCAAUUCCACGCGCUUCAGCAUUAAUGUGAACCAAAUUCCUUUCCAAGAAGUAUUUCCAGAAUCGAAACCUUAUCAGUCGCGUGAUAUCUGAAAAAAGUGGGACCUACUACUGAACCAGCUGUCAACUGGAAGUCUCUUUCUAUACCUUUCACGACCGCCUAUAAAUAGAAAACCCUUCUAUUUUUUUUCUCUCACCAAAAAUACUACAAAUUACUAAGCUUUCUACUUCUUCACUCUAAACUGUUCUAGUAACUCAUCACCGGAAAUGGCUUCAGUUUUUACUUUCAUGAUGGUGCUGGUUGUGGCUGCCAUGGCUCUCGGCGGUGUUGUAGCUCAAGAAGUGGCGUCCCCUGCGCCAGCGCCUCUCUCCGGAACCGCCUCGAUCUCGCCUUCUAUAGCUUCUGCUGGUUUGGCUCUUGUUGUGUCUUUUAUUUUUUGUUUCACUCUAAGGAUCUAAAUUGCCGUUAGCCUAUGAUUGAUGUGGCACUAGCUUAGAUGUAGUGAGUGGUUUCUUUCUUUAUUAGGAUUUAUGUGCUAGAUCUAGUGUUUUGUGUGUGAGUAUAUAUAUGUAUACAUAUAUGGAGCAUAAGACGAUGAUAUUGUGUGGUUGCCUUGGCUUGGCGAUUAGUAUUAUUAAUACGUGAUUUAUUGUAUUUGGUGCUUCAUUUCUAUGUACUUAAAUAUUGAUUUAUUUUAUUUCAUUGUUUCUGUUUAA